UAGAGUUUGAUCCUGGCUCAGGAUGAACGCUAGCUACAGGCUUAACACAUGCAAGUCGAGGGGAAACGGCAUUGAGUGCUUGCACUCUUUGGACGUCGACCGGCGCACGGGUGAGUAACGCGUAUCCAACCUUCCCAUUACUGUGGGAUAACCUGCCGAAAGGCAGACUAAUACCGCAUAGUCUUCGAUGACGGCAUCAGAUUUGAAGUAAAGAUUUAUCGGUAAUGGAUGGGGAUGCGUCUGAUUAGCUUGUUGGCGGGGUAACGGCCCACCAAGGCGACGAUCAGUAGGGGUUCUGAGAGGAAGGUCCCCCACAUUGGAACUGAGACACGGUCCAAACUCCUACGGGAGGCAGCAGUGAGGAAUAUUGGUCAAUGGACGGAAGUCUGAACCAGCCAAGUAGCGUGCAGGAUGACGGCCCUAUGGGUUGUAAACUGCUUUUGUAUGGGGAUAAAGUUAGGGACGUGUCCCUAUUUGCAGGUACCAUACGAAUAAGGACCGGCUAAUUCCGUGCCAGCAGCCGCGGUAAUACGGAAGGUCCAGGCGUUAUCCGGAUUUAUUGGGUUUAAAGGGAGCGUAGGCUGGAGAUUAAGUGUGUUGUGAAAUGUAGACGCUCAACGUCUGACUUGCAGCGCAUACUGGUUUCCUUGAGUACGCACAACGUUGGCGGAAUUCGUCGUGUAGCGGUGAAAUGCUUAGAUAUGACGAAGAACUCCGAUUGCGAAGGCAGCUGACGGGAGCGCAACUGACGCUUAAGCUCGAAGGUGCGGGUAUCAAACAGGAUUAGAUACCCUGGUAGUCCGCACAGUAAACG
rnacentral:rRNA from 1 species